GACGAAGGAUCCAAGCGUUAUCCGGAUUUAUUGGGUUUAAAGGGUGCGUAGGCGGAUUUAUAAGUCAGUGGUGAAAGCCUGUUGCUUAACAACAGAACUGCCAUUGAUACUGUUGAUCUUGAAUAUGUUUGAUGUGGGCGGAAUAUGACAUGUAGCGGUGAAAUGCUUAGAUAUGUCAUAGAACACCGAUUGCGAAGGCAGCUCACAAAGCCAUUAUUGACGCUGAGGCACGAAAGCGUGGGGAUCAAACAGGAUUAGAUACCCUGGUAGUCCACGCUGUAAACUUUGAUCACUCGCUGUUGGCGAUACACAGUCAGCGGCUAAGCGAAAGCGUUAAGUGAUCCACCUGGGGAGUACGGUCGCAAGAUUG
rnacentral:rRNA from 1 species